UAUCGGAUACUGGGCGUAAGCGCAUGCAGGCGGUUUGUUAAGUCAGAUGUGAAAGCCCGGGGCUCAACCUCGGAACCGCAUUUGAAACUGGCAGGCUAGAGUCUUGUAGAGGGGGGUAGAAUUUCAGGUGUAGCGGUGAAAUGCGUAGAGAUCUGAAGGAAUACCAGUGGCGAAGGCGGCCCCCUGGACAAAGACUGACGCUCAGAUGCGAAAGCGUGGGUAGCAAACAGGAUUAGAUACCCUGGUAGUCCACGCCGUAAACGCUGUCUACUUGGAGGUUGAGGUUUAGACUUUGGCUUUCGGCGCUAACGCAUUAAGUAGACCGCCUGGGGAGUACGGCCGCAAGGUUAAAACUCAAAUGAAUUGACGGGGGCCCGCACAAGCGGUGGAGCAUGUGGUUUAAUUCGAUGCAACGCGAAGAACCUUACCUACUCUUGACAUCCAGAGAAUUUUCCAGAGAUGGAUUGGUGCCUUCGGGARCUCUGAGACAGGUGCUGCAUGGCUGUCGUCAGCUCGUGUUGUGAAAUGUUGGGUUAAGUCCCGCAACGAGCGCAACCCUUAUCCUUGUUUGCCAGCACGUAAUGGUGGGAACUCCAGGGAGACUGCCGGUGAUAAACCGGAGGAAGGUGGGGACGACGUCAAGUCAUCAUGGCCCUUACGAGUAGGGCUACACACGUGCUACAAUGGCAGAUACAGAGGGCAGCGAAGCUGCGAAGUGGAGCGAAUCCCUUAAAGUCUGUCGUAGUCCGGAUUGGAGUCUGCAACUCGACUCCAUGAAGUCGGAAUCGCUAGUAAUCGUGGAUCAGAAUGCCACGGUGAAUACGUUCCCGGGCCUUGUACACACCGCCCGUCACACCAUGGGAGUGGGCUGCACCAGAAGUAGAUAGCUAACCUUCGGAGGGC
rnacentral:rRNA from 1 species